CCAGACUCCUACGGGAGGCAGCAGUGAGGAAUAUUGGUCAAUGGCCGAGAGGCUGAACCAGCCAAGUCGCGUGAGGGAUGACGGCCCUACGGGUUGUAAACCUCUUUUGUCGGGGAGCAAAGAGAGUCACGUGUGGCUCAUUGAGAGUACCCGAAGAAAAAGCAUCGGCUAACUCCGUGCCAGCAGCCGCGGUAAUACGGAGGAUGCGAGCGUUAUCCGGAUUUAUUGGGUUUAAAGGGUGCGCAGGCGGCCUUUUAGGCCAGGGUUAAAAGCCCGGGGCUCAACCCGGACGAGCCGUUGAAACUGGCGGGCUGGAGUUGGAGAGAAGUACGCGGAAUGCGCGGUGUAGCGGUGAAAUGCUUAGAUAUCGCGCAGAACCCCGAUUGCGAAGGCAGCGUACCGGCUCCACACUGACGCUGAGGCACGAAAGCGUGGGUAUCGAACAGGAUUAGAUACCCGCGUA
rnacentral:rRNA from 1 species